AGUGAACGCUGGCGGUAGGCCUAACACAUGCAAGUCGAACGGCAGCACAGUAAGAGCUUGCUCUUACGGGUGGCGAGUGGCGGACGGGUGAGGAAUACAUCGGAAUCUACUUUUUCGUGGGGGAUAACGUAGGGAAACUUACGCUAAUACCGCAUACGACCUACGGGUGAAAGCAGGGGAUCUUCGGACCUUGCGCGAUUGAAUGAGCCGAUGUCGGAUUAGCUAGUUGGCGGGGUAAAGGCCCACCAAGGCGACGAUCCGUAGCUGGUCCGAGAGGAUGAUCAGCCACACUGGAACUGAGACACGGUCCAGACUCCUACGGGAGGCAGCAGUGGGGAAUAUUGGACAAUGGGCGCAAGCCUGAUCCAGCCAUACCGCGUGGGUGAAGAAGGCCUUCGGGUUGUAAAGCCCUUUUGUUGGGAAAGAAAAGUAGCAGGUUAAUACCCCGCUGUUCUGACGGUACCCAAAGAAUAAGCACCGGCUAACUUCGUG
rnacentral:rRNA from 1 species